GGCGAAGCCUGAUGCAGCACGCCGCGUGCGGGAAGACAGCCCUAGGGUUGUAAACCGCUUUCAGUAGGGAAGAAAAUGACGGUACCUACAGAAGAAGGUGCGGCCAACUACGUGCCAGCAGCCGCGGUGACACGUAGGCACCAAGCGUUAUCCGGAUUUAUUGGGCGUAAAGAGCUCGUAGGCGGUUUGGUAAGUCGGGUGUGAAAACUCAGGGCUUAACCCUGAGACGCCACCCGAUACUGCCAUGACUUGAGUACGGUAGGGGAGCGGGGAACUCCUGGUGUAGCGGUGAAAUGCGCAGAAUAUCAGGAAGAACACCGGUGGCGAAGGCGCCGCUCUGGGCCGUAACUGACGCUGAGGAGCGAAAGCGUGGGUAGCAAACAGGAUUAGAUACCCUGGUAGUCCACGCCGUAAACGUUGGGCACUAGGUGUGGGUCUCAACUAACGAGAUCCGCGCCGUAGCUAACGCAUUAAGUGCCCCGCCGGGGGAGUACGGUCGCAAGACUAAAACUCGAGAAUUUGGCGGG
rnacentral:rRNA from 1 species